GGAAUUUUGGGCAAUGGGCGAAAGCCUGACCCAGCAACGCCGCGUGAAGGAUGAAAUCCCUCGGGAUGUAAACUUCGCAAGAACGGGAAGAAUAAGUAGGGGACAAUACCCCCUAUGAUGACGGUACCGUUUGUAAGCUCCGGCUAACUCCGUGCCAGCAGCCGCGGUAAUACGGAGGGAGCUAGCGUUGUUCGGAAUUACUGGGCGUAAAGCGCACGUAGGCGGCUUUGUAAGUUAGAGGUGAAAGCCUGGAGCUCAACUCCAGAAUUGCCUUUAAGACUGCAUCGCUUGAAUCCAGGAGAGGUGAGUGGAAUUCCGAGUGUAGAGGUGAAAUUCGUAGAUAUUCGGAAGAACACCAGUGGCGAAGGCGGCUCACUGGACUGGUAUUGACGCUGAGGUGCGAAAGCGUGGGGAGCAAA
rnacentral:rRNA from 1 species